rnacentral:lncRNA from 1 species
AAUACACAGCUGAGGGGCCUGCAGGCCUCUGAUGACUCCAUACCCCCGACAGAGACAACUUUGUCCACAGUUGGUGGGAUCAGUGGGGGCACCCUCUGUACCCUGUCUGGUGAGACUCUCAGAUUAGCUACUACUGACUGAGAGUGACUUACUAAGCCAAAGGUUGUGUAACGAUCUCUUCCAAGAUGAAAAUGUCCCAUCCAGCAGGGAAACUCCUUAAGCGGGGAGGUGAACAACCAAAGAGACUUCAAGAGCUCCCUGAAGCUGAGCAGACUCACUAGGCCCUGCCCUGCCGCCAGAGUAAGCAAUCAAAGUUAAGAGUCCCUCUCAGACAGCAGGAAGUUGAGCAGCAAGGAAGACUCUGAGACCAGACUAGCCACCCAGAAGAAGCAGAAACCAGCCCAGCUGCUGGAAGAGUUUUAAGCCAGCUGGGACAGCUAGAAGGGACACUCUCCGGCCCGCUGAGCUGCCUGCAGGCUGUGCAAGUGUGCUCCAGGUUCUCAGCUUCAUGAGCUGUCACCCGUGCUGGGGUGGACACCUGAUGAUGUCUUUGAGUCAUUUCUGCUCCUGUAUGAGGACCCAAGCUUCCGGUAGGUAGCCAUGGGUAUCAAGAUGGCUAACAGAAUACCUCAAACCAACCAGCAAGAGAAGAAAAUUCUGGGAAAGAUGAUCUGGUCCUCAAAGAAAGAAACCAGAAGCAUCUCAUGUGUCUUCCUCCAUGCCCAGGACAUGGCCACCCCAAUGUCUGAACCCAAAUCCAUACCACACCAUCUCUCACUUCCUAGAUGCUGCCGGUGACUUGUGGAAGCUGUGACCUCUGUGUACAAACAUUACCAUCAAGUCCACAUUUUUCCACAUUCCAGU